rnacentral:rRNA from 1 species
CAGGAUGAACGCUAGCGACAGGCCUAACACAUGCAAGUCGAGGGGCGGCACAAGGAGCAAUCUGAGGUGGCGACCGGCGCACGGGUGAGUAACACGUAUGCAACCUGCCUGUAAGCGGGGAAUAACCCGUUGAAAGACGGACUAAUACCGCAUAAUACUAAAUUACUGCAUGGUAAUUUAUUUAAACAUUUAUGGCUUACAGAUGGGCAUGCGCAUGAUUAGCUAGUUGGAGAGGUAACGGCUCCCCAAGGCAACGAUCAUUAGGGGUUCUGAGAGGAAGGUCCCCCACACUGGUACUGAGACACGGACCAGACUCCUACGGGAGGCAGCAGUGAGGAAUAUUGGUCAAUGGACGAGAGUCUGAACCAGCCAAGUCGCGUGCAGGAAGAAUGUUCCCUAUGGAUUGUAAACUGCUUUUGCAGGGGAAUAAAGUGCAUCACGUGUGAUGUUUUGUAUGUACUCUGCGAAUAAGGAUCGGCUAACUCCGUGCCAGCCGCUGC